CACAGUGAGGGGCUUCCCUGGUGGCGCAGUGGCUGGGAGUCCGCCUGCUGAUGCAGGGGACACGGGUUCGUGCCCCGGUCCGGGAGGAUCCCACAUGCUGCGGAGCGGCUGGGCCCGUGAGCCAUGGCCGCUGAGCCUGCGCGUCCGGAGCCUGUGCUCCGCAACGGGAGAGGCCACAGCAGUGAGAGGCCCGCAUACCGCAAAAAAAAAAAAAAAAAAAAUCACAGUGGGGGCUUCCCUGGUGGCACAGUGGUUGGGAAUCUGCCUGCCGAUUCAGGGUACACGGGUUCGAGCCUUGGUCUGGGAGGAUCCCACGUGCCGCGGAGCGACUAGGCCCGUGAGCCACAACUGCUGAGCCUGCGCGUCUGGAGCCCGUGAGCCACAACUGCUGAGCCUGCGUGUCUGGAGCCCGUGCUCUGCAACGGGAGAGGCCAUGACAGUGAGAGGCCUGCGCACCACGAUGAAGAGUGGUCCCCACUCACCGCAACUGGAGAAAGCCCUCACACAGAAACGAAGACCCAACACAGCCCAAAAAAAAAAAAAAAAAAAUCACAGUGGAAGCAACCCAGUGUCCAUGACGGAUGAGAGGGAAGCACAGUGUGGUUCCUCCAUUCAGUGGGAUGUUACCCGGUCUUACGAAGCAAGGCAACUCGGACCCGUGCUCCCACGGGGAUGGACCUUGAGGGCCCUGCACUCAGUGAAGUAAGCCAGGACAAAAGGCAGAUCCUGCGCGAUUCCACUCACACGAGGUCCCUGGAGGAGUCACGUCCACACGGACGGAAAGGUGGGUGCCGGCAGGUGAAGGAGGGAAGGGGGAGUUCGUGUGGGAAGGGGAUGGAGUCUCCGCUUGGGAAGAUGAACAGAUUCUGGAGGUGGACGGUGAGGAUGGUUGCACAACAGUAUGAAUGUGUUUCAUGCCACUGAGCUGGACACUUCAAAUAGGUAACACGGUGCAUUUGUGUCAUGUAUAUUUUAACCACAACUUUUAAAUAAAUCACAGCAUUAUAGGUAAGUUUUCUGUAUAGCGUAUUUCAGAGUUUGGAAAAUAUGUCUCAAAAGGAAGAUAAGAAACCACUUAAAUUCCACAGUAACAUUAUUAACACUGAAAGGCUUCUUAAUAGAACCAUACAGCAUUUGGGGUGAGUCCUUGGCACACGUAGCGUCAUUUUUAAGCUAGGUUGGUAUCCUACAAAAAUCUGGUUAUUUUUUAAAAAUAAUGCUGAAAACAGCAUGUUUUGCAAUAGCAGUAUGCUGGAGAUUUCCCAAAUGUCUGUGAUUGGCUCAGCAGAUUGUGAUAUGUCCAUAUCCCAGAGUCCCACUCAGCAAUAAGUGGGAACGAAUUAUCGAUACAUGACACAGCCUGGGUGAGUCUCCAAGGAGAUGUGCUGGAAACCACAAGCCAUCGUCAAAGGCCGCAGACUGUGCGGUUCCUUUUGUAGAGCGCUCUGAAAAGGGCAAGCCUGCAGAGAUGACUGCCGGGCGUCGGGUGGCUGGGCCACCUGCACAGGGCUGCUGUGGGGGAGUUCUUUCAUGCUGUUGAAAGAGCUCUGCGUCUUGACUGCAGAGAUGAUCACACAUGGACACAUGGGAUAAAAUCUUACACGCUACGUGCGUAGGUGAUGCGCGUGCGCACACGCACAGGUCAGAAAUGGCGAAACCUGGAGAAGAUUUGCAGUCAGGUGACCAGUCGGUUGGAUGUAACUUCUCGGUUUUGAUAUUGUCCUAGGGCGAGAUGAGAUGUCACCAUUGGGGGAGGCUGGCUGAAAGGCACACAGGACUCCACUGUUUUCACAACUUCCCGUCAGUCCAUGAUAAUCUUGAAAUUAUUAAACAAAAAAAUUAAACAGGAGUGAUAAUUUUGCACUUCCAUGGUCUGCAGAGCUGUGUGUGUGUGUGUGUGUGAGAGAGAGAGAGAGGUCAGUAAUACAACCGAGGCCGAGAAAUUUUAAUUAGAAUUUGCAGGUCAUUAGCCAUUGUGCAGGCCUAGGGUUUUGUUGUUGUUGUUGUUGUUUUCGGUACGUGGGCCUCUCACUGUUGUGGCCUCUCCCUUUGCGGCGCACAGGCUCCGGACACGCAGUCUCAGUGGCCAUGGCUCACGGGCCCAGCCGCUCCGCAGCGUGUGGGAUCUUCCCGGACCGGGGCACGAACCCGUGUCCCCUGCAUUGGCAGGCGGACUCUCAACCACUGCACCACCAGGGAAGCCCCUAGGCCUAGGUUUUGAUGGGGUGUCUGUUUUACUCGGAUUCCACUAAUAGCUGUAUUAACUAAGAAGUGGAUAGCCACACUCACCUUCUGGGGCUUUUGGAAACAGAAAAAAUAAAGGUCAUCUGAAGGUGAACGGCAGUGGUCAUGUGUACAUAGCACAAGUUUUUGCUUCCUUGGGAACUCAGCAAACUCGGUGCCGUGCUCACCUGGCCGUCUCCUCCUGGGUAAUUGUCGUGAGAAGCAAUUCUGCAUUUGAUUGGGACCAUAGGUACUGGACGGGCUGUAUUUUUACGGGGAGGAUAAAAGUCUAUGCAGUGUUCCCCAUCCCUUUUCCAGUGUUGUACGAGGUUGUUAAAUAUCCCCUCAUGGUCUUUAGCUUGAAGAAUUCUAUUAGGUGGGCAGAGUUGAGGGUCUUAAUCUCUGGAGAUAUUCUGAAUGGCCACAGGAGCUUGCAGUAUCAAAAGACUGUCAGCCUCUCCUGGCAGUCAGGAAAGAGCCAGGGUUUCUCAGCCGCAGCACUGUUGACAUUUGGGGCGGGUUGUUCUUUGCCGGUGCGGCUGUCUGGUAUUGUAGGUUGUUAAACCGCAUCCCUGGUCUCCACCCACUGGAUGACAGCAACGCUUCCCCACCCUCCCGUGUUACAGCCAAAAAUGUCUCCACUUUGCCAAAUGUCCCCUGGAGGGCAGAAUCAUCUCCAGUUGAGAACCCCUGAUACACAUCCUUGAGCUGUGGGAUGUUUCUCCUUCCAGUUAGUUUUUAUUGGAAAGUGGAGUUGUAAUGGGAUUCUCAUUUUCUCACUCUAUCGUCUUCUUGGGCUGCAUUUUGAUUCCUUCUGCUGCAGAACUCAAGUAGACUUUAAGAGUGAGCAUAAUGCAGUCCCUGUUUUUAUUAAAUUUUUCCAGGGUAUUUUUCCACUCGAGGAAGAGGGAAGUCUGCCAGCACCAUUCUCUAGCAGAUAAUAAAAUAAUCGGGAGUAGCAGUCUUCAGUCUGGGUUUUGUUUUCGGUUUGGGGGGGUGCUUUGGACUCCCAGUGAGGAGUUUAGAUAACCAGGAAAAGGGUGUUCCUCUUAAUAUUUUUGAAUAAUUGCAUUUCCAAAAAUGAUUGAGCGACAUUGCCCUCUGUAAUCCCAGCAGCUGACACAUCACCCGGUAGGCUCCGCCGUGUUUCCUGGGACCGUGGAAUGACUUCUUAUGCAAGACACGUUUCCCCGGAUUCGGGAAGUCAUUUUAAUGGUUCAACUAUCUUAAUUUAAAUGCAAGUUCAGGGCUUAUUGUUCAGCUGAGGCUCUAAAAAUAUUUUUGACUGCAGUGGCUCUUCUCCAUUGCUAAUGUUGUCCCUGUUUAGAAAGAGAAUCUUUAUGAAACGGUAAAGACAGGCAUUUCUCUGAGGUAAUGGUAGCCUUUGCUUUAGAAAUCAUAAAGGAAAAUAUUAGUUUCAUUAAAUAAUAAAUCAGGAAGACCUGAACAGUUUGUCCAUGUGAGUAGAGGACGAAAGUACCUUUAAAAUCAUGUGAGGGAGUUCCCUGGCGGUCCAGCGGUUAGGAUUCGGUGCUUUCACUGCCGCGGCCCGGGUUCGAUCCCUGGUCGGGGAACUAAGAUCCCACAAGCCGCCCGACCAAAAUAAAAAAAUAAAUAGAAAUAAAAUAAAAUCCUGUAAAGCAGUGAUGUCUCAUGUGCUCAUGUCUGCCAGGAGAUGGAAGCAGUGCCUUUCUGGUGGUUUGUGGGCUGCGCCCCCUAGAGCACCCUCAGGCUCGAUGGUUUGCUAGAAGGAUUCACAGAAUUUAGCAACUGUCACACUCAGUGGAUUACAGCACAAGAUACAGGUUAUAAUAUACUGCAUGGUGCUCUCCCUGAAGUAGACACAGGUUCAUUGUGUGAGGCCAUGCCUGUGUUGAGUAGCCUGUUGUGUAACCCUUCCACAGUGUAUAUCCGUGUGUCAGAGCAUCACAAUGUACACAUUGGCAUAUGUCAGUUAUACCUCAGGAAGGCUGGGGAGAAAAGAUACAGCUCAAUCAAAGUCAAUCCUAUGUGUCUCCAUUUCUGUUAUGUUCCUCUUAAUUGUAGUAUAAUUUGGUUUAUAUUUUGUUUGUUCAAAUGUCUUGUUUAUGCAACAUCUGAUAGUGCCCUUUAUUUUGAAUUGAUAGCUUCAACUUUUCUCCAUUAAAAUUUUAUCAAGGGGCUUCCCUGGUGGCGCGGUGGUUAAGAAUCCGCCUGCCAAUGCAGGGGACACGGGUUCAAGCCCUGGUCCGGGAAGAUCCCGCAUGCCGCGGAGCCACUAAGCCUGUGCGCCACAACUCCUGAGCCCACGUGCCACAACUACUGAGUCCAUGUGCCACGGCUACUAAAGCCUGCGUGCCUAGAGCCCGUGCUCCACAACAAAAGAAGCCACCGCAAUGAGAAGCCCGCGCACAUCAACAAAGAGUAGUCCCUGCUCGCCGCAACUGGAGAAAGCCCGCGCGCAGCAACAAAGACCCAACGCAGCCAAAAAUAAAUAAAAAUAAAAUAAAAUAAUUUAUUUUAAAAAAUUAAUACACCCGCCCCCCCCCCCAAAAAAAAAGAUACAGAUUACAAUCGGCCAAGGGAAGAGGUGCAUGGGGUCCAGUCCAGGAGAACCGGGCACAGCUUUACAGGUGUCCUCUCCUGGCGGAGUGACCUGAUGGUACCUCAUUCUCCCAGCAGCAUGUACGAUGACACGCGCAGUGUUGCUAACCACCCAAGCUUUGGUGUCCAGGUUUAUAUCAGAGGGCAGUCAUGUGGGCCUGCAGCACCUGCUGAGGGGGACAGAAGGAGAACCUGGACAGGCCCUGGCUGUGUCCAUCCUGCCCCAGUCCAGUCCAGGUUGUGGUUGCAUAUCCGUCACUUACGCAUUUGUGAGUAUGUGUUUACCUCACUUUUAAAAAAUCACUUUAAAAAAUGUAGGGGUGGAUAAGUAGCUGGAGAAUAUGAUGCCCACGCCUCUUAAGUAGAAAAGAGUAAAGCACCCCCAGGAGAGCUUUGUGGCAUCACUAAUGCACACGCCUCCUCCAGCGAGGCCUGCCCACGUUCCCUUUGCAGAGCACAGUCUGCAGAGGGGCUGAGCCUCCCCUUACGCUGUGCACGGGCGUCGGGAAGAACCUGUACUAUGAGAAUCGUCUCAUCACAGACCUCUUGUAGUGCUAGUUGCCAGCGAGCUCCACUUCGUUCAGAAAGAGUGUUUUCCUAAACUGCUCUUUGGGUUUGAUGAUAACCGCUUAGAGUAGCAAAACGGAACCGUGGAGAAGUUGCCUUUUUAUGUCCCAGAUGUUCACAAUCAUCCCAUUUCCCGUGCAGUUUUGGUUGUGCAAUCUUUUCUAAGCUUACUGCUCUCAUUUGUAUGUGUGUGAAAGCUCAGAUUCAAGACUUGCCAUUCUUGUGCUCAUUAAUUUGUCAGGGGGGCGGUGGGGGAAGCAAUUAGAAUAAAAACCACUUGAAAAUCAGUUGAGUAUUUAUAAGUUACAGUUGUUUAAGUAUGUGUCUUGCUCAAUAUAGCCAAGCAAUUUCCCUUGGUAUUGCCAUCAGAGAGAGGUUAGAUGCUGUCGAAGAUGCCCUUAAGUCUUAUUAUACCGUAGUUUCCUACUUUAAACGUUAGUGAUGAUAUGAAAAAACCUAAGAUGGUUCCUGUUUCCUUUUUUUAGCUAAGACGAAAUAACCACUUACGAAGGUGCCUGUUUCCAAAGUUCAUACACCAUUACAUUUAAGAUCCGCCUGCUCUGAAAUUCUAAUGUGACUUUAAAAGUGUCCGGCUUUGAUGUAUUUUAUUUCCUGCCAAUUUCAGUUCCUUUUCUUCCUUCCAGACUGAAGAGCCAGUCAUCUGGACUGUCAGACACAACACUGUCCUUUUUCUCCCAAGUUUCUAUAUGUUGCUCUACUGAUGUCUCCACCACCCACUUCUUAAAUGCCAUUGUCCCCAAGGUGACAUCCUUUUCUUCCCCUCCCAUGUCUAUGUGGCCAGUGUGCUGUUCCUUCUGCAAGUCUAGGUGUCCAUCCUAGCCUCUCUACUCACCCCCAGUCUAGGUGUCCAUCCCUAACCUCUCUGAUUCCCCAGUGUGGGGGUCCAUCCCUAACCCCUCUGAUCCCCCAGUCUUGUAAUCUACCUCCAGCCGCUCUGUUGCCUUCCAUACUGCUGUUUUGGCUGUGUAUCUCCCAAGCAUUCUUUAACAUAAUUCCACACUUAAUACCAUUGCCAUUUCCUGACCACUGUCCCUCCCCGGCAAAGAAAAACUUCCUCUGUCCCAUAAUCGUGUCGCGGUUUAAUAUGGAAACAUCAGAAUCCUGUUCAAAUAUUCCUUCUCCAUAAUAUCUUUCCUACUGUCUCCAUCAGCUGGGCACUCCCCGUAUCUUGUCAGUGCCACCUCUUUCCCCAUUGUCACUGCUUUGCCUUAGUGACAGUGGCGCCCACUUGUCGAGCACGUGCUGUGUGCCAGGCAUGAUUCUAAGUACUUGACCGAUAAAACCAUUACCCCUAAGAAGGAGGUGCAGCUGCCGCUAUCAUUGACAGAUGAGAAACCCAAGGCGUUGAGAAGGUAGCCACUUGCCCAGGUCACACUGCCAGGAAGUCGUAGAGCUAGGAUUCACAACAGGCCAUCUAGCUCUGGAAGCUUACACUUAAGUGAUUUUUCUGGACUCUUUUUUUUUUUUUUAAUUUAUUUAUUUUUGGCUGCCUUGGGUCUUUGUUGCUGCGCGCGGGCUUUCUCUAGUUACGGCGAGCGGGGGCUACUCUUGGUUGCGGUGCGCGGGCUUCUCGUCGCGGUUGCUUUUCUUGUUGCGGAGCAUGGGCUCUAGGCACGCGGGCUUCAGUAGUUGUGGCUCGCGGGCUCUAGAGCACAGGCUCAGUAGUUGUGGCGCACGGGCUUCAUUGUUCCGCGGCAUGAGGGAACUUCCCGGACCAGGGCUCGAACCCGUGUCCCCUGCAUUGGCAGGUGGAUUCUUAACCACUGCGCCACCAGGGAAGCCCUUUGUUGACUCUUAAUGUGGUGAAAUUGUUGAUUUAUCUUUCGACAUUAAAGCCUGCAUUCCUGGAAUAAACCCCACUUGGCCCGGACAUUUUGUCCUCUUCAUAUAUACCACUGAAUUCCGUUUGUUCUGUGUCUGGAAUAUUUGAGUGUAUUUUACCAAGAGAAGUUAGGCUGUGGUGUUCCUUUUUGGAUUUCCUCAUCAUGUUUGGAUCUUAGUGUUAUAGUGGCCUCAUAAAACAAGUUGAGGGAUCAGAAACUGCUUUCCUAAGCACCUGUUGCUCCCAUCACCUAGUUUAGGUCUCUCCCCUGGAUUAGUUGGAGAAAUCUUUCUGUAAAAGAUAGUAUUUUCAUCUCUGUCACAACCAGUCAUUUCUGUCUUUGUAGUGCGAAAGCAGCCACCAAAAAUACAUAGACAUGGGCUUCCCUGGUGGCGCAGUGGCUGGGAGUCCGCCUGCUGAUGCAGGGGACACGGGUUCGUGCCCCGGUCCGGGAGGAUCCCACAUGCUGCGGAGCGGCUGGGCCCGUGAGCCAUGGCCACUGAGCCUGCGCGUCCGGAGCCUGUGCUCCACAACGGGAGAGGCCGCAACAGUGAGAGGCCCUCGUACCGCAAAAAAAAAAAAAAAAUACAUAGACACAUGAGAGUAGCAGUGUUUCAGUAAAACUUUAUUUGCAAAAACAGGCAAGGGAACAGAUUUGGCUCAGAGGAUAUAGUUUGCAGACUCCUGUCCAAGCCUACUAAUGGAAUGUAGGAGUUUCUUCCCAUCCAGGGAACCUGGACGCCCCCACUGCCCCCAUGUGUGUAUAGUGAGUAUUGAUUACUUCCCUGUCCUUUGGACGCUUCUGUUGCCCUCCUCUGUCUACACAUGUAUUUCCCAUGCUCAGUUCUCUUGUACUGUCUACAUCAUUUUUGCGUCUACCUAAAAGUAUUUUGUUAAUAUUUAUUAACACUUUUCCUUAAAUUGAAGCAGUUACUUUACCCUGAAUUUUCAAAUGCAUCUAUUAACUGUACUUGCACGAGGCACAUUAAAGUAAAUAACUUUGACUUUAAAAGAUCUGGCCCUGUGCUACGUAAAAUUGUUGUAGGUACUGUCAGAGGUAGGGAUGCCAUCCGGGAAUCCUUGAUAUGCACGAAUAAAGCAGUUGUCGUGGUUUGCAGGUCUCUACCUGUCUCUCGCUGGCGUGUCUGUUGAGUGGUGGCACUGCCCUAGGUGCUGGGGUUGGAAGGACAGAUGGGAGGGGGAAGUCUUUUCCUCCCCACCUAGAGAGUGUCACAGAUCAAUUAAAGAGGCGUGUGACACAGAGGCUGAUAAAAGUGAGGUUGGAGGAGUUCGCAGAGGACCACAGGGGAGGGUGCAGAGAGCAGGAGGCACUUGAGCUAGAACUCUUCAGGCAAAGGAGGAACGAGAGCAUUUCAACCAAAACCAAGAGCCAGAGUUCGUGCCGGGAGGCUCAGCAAAGCCCCGCGUGUUUAUGGAGGAGGAACCAUCUUGGCGAGGGGAACAAAGGAUACGGGACGGGAGGGGAAGGAAGGAAGUACUGGGACGCUGGGUCAGCAGCACAGGAAGGCCAGGCUGUCCAGUGGGAAGCCACUGAUUAGUCUUUGAAAGUAAAUCUGGAGGCCGUGUGUGUAAGUCAGGGAUGACUCGCAGUGAAAACAGAGACUCAACCAAAAUGGUGACUGUUGACACCAAUUAGCAGCCGGGAGAAAUGCUCAUAUUGUGUUAGGUUAGAAAGAACACGGGUGCAGAAUUCUAGGACCCCAAGAGUUACACGUAAAAAUUACUUUGCGUAGGGCAAGCGGACUGGAGGAAAUCCCCCGUGUGAGAACAGCACUUGUGUCGAGCAUAUAAUGCUUGACUUAUUCCCUCUCUCCUCCAACUUGGUUUCUCUGUUUUCCCCCCAAGUCCUACGUUAAUGGUAGUUUUUAACCGUGCUGUCCGUUGUAAAUCUCCGGUUUGGCAGUCGUGCUCGACUUUCCCAGUCAACGAAUAGCAGAGUUCACGAGGGUUCAAAGCCGUUGCGGCCACGGUGCCAGAAGGGGCGGGCUCCGAGCGAGGCUUCUCCGAGCGGCGGCCGGAAGCGGGAGCUGAGGUCUGGGUGAGCUUGUGGGGGCAGGCGGCCGCCUCCCCGGCGCCCCUCGCGGAGCUGCCGCCCCCCCCCCCCCCCCCCCGGCCAGCUGUGGCCCCAGGAGGAAGUAGCACCCUUGGUUUACAACCUGACUCGUGCUCUCUCCUUCUGGAGGCCUCCCAGGUUUAGCGGAUGUUACAAGUCUUGGCAGGGGUGCGAGGUCUGCAACAGCCAGCAGCCCAGGCUGCUCUCCGCCGCCACCCCUGGGGUCCAGGCCAGAUGUUAGAAGUGAAACCCUGUUUUUAACGAGGUCCUCCUGGUAUUUCUUCUGGGCGCCAUCCAAGCAGUCCCAUUUUACACUGAAUUCCGCGUUACGGCAGGUCGGUGAGAACAGGUUUGCGGCUCAGAAAGCCACCUCCCUGCCCUCGGUGUUUUCUCUAGCAAGAUACUGGAGAAUUGGGACAGUGUGGGAGAGCUGGGUCUCGGGGAUUUUUUUUUUUUUUUAAGAUAAACACAUUGAAGUGUAGAGUUGUCAUGAACAUGUGUAGUGAUGUAGGCUGAAAAAUCAGAAAGAACUCUCAGCAUGUGUUUGCGCUUUUUACCAUGGGUAAAGCUAGAGUUUACGGUUAUAAACUGCUUCCCGGGCAGAAAACGUAAUCCUCUGGUGAGACGAAUCCAUCACUUCCAAAAGGAAGAUGUGAACUGAUAAUACAUCGGCCCCCAGAGAUGAGGGUAUGAUUUCUUAUUCUCCCGCCUUUUCUGUUUACAUCUUCUCACUCCGUGUGUGUGCAUGUGUGCGUGUCUGUGUGUGUGUGUGUGUCUGUGUGUGUGUCUGUGUCUGUGUUCCUCUGUUAGAUUUAUUUGGUCCAGCUCGCUCUGGACCACCCUCAGCCUCUCUCCCGUCUUUAUUUUUAUCGGUACUGUCCCCACCCGCACACCUGAGUCACCCGGUCCCCCCACCCUCCUCGCCCCCCAAGAGGAAGGCGGGCCGCUUUGCAGGCAGCUGCAGUGCUGUUAGAGAAAACUUUGUGAUCCGGGAAGUACUGACAGAGGAGAAGCUGUGCUGACUGCGCCGUGUCCAGGGAUGUUACAGAAGUAAGGAAGUGCUACGUAUUCCUUAGCAGUCCACGGUUUCGUUUUCAGAACGACCCCAUUGUCAAAUCCCGGUGGCCAGUUGGACUGGAUGAGUGUGUUGACCAGUGGCUGCUUGGUGGUCAUUAAUCUUAGGGCUGGAGCGACGGCCAGAGCCAUUGACCUCUCUCUCUCGAGGUGGCUUUUGCAGGCAUGUGGAAAUCGUAUUACAGUCCCCCCAUGCACAGACUCUCACAUGUGUGCUUUCACUUCCUGACCAGUAGGGGGCACCCCCACCAAGCUCCCCACCCUCCGUUAUGUUCAUAAAGCCGUGGUCCCGGUUCCUCUCUGUUUCUUGGCGUCUGGUCUCUGCAUGUGAUAAGGUUUCUUGUGGCCCUGGUGGCCUGGCGUGGCCGCUUCCCACUGGAGUUGUAAGUAAUGGCUUCUUCUUUCCGUGGCCUUCAUCUCUCCGUGUCAUCACUCACUCACCUCCAUAAAUUAAAAUCCCGUGGGUUUGAUUGGGACGAUAAGGUCAUUUUUUCCUCUGCCUAGAAUUUUAGAAUUGAAAGGGACCUCGGAGAUCACCUAAUUCCACCUGUUUGUUGGUCAGAAAAGGAAGCCAGGGAAGCAAGUGAGGGCAGGCCCGGGCCUCGGAGCACAUGGGUGAAGUGUGUUCUCUCUGUGAACAAAAAGAAACAGUACCAGGGCUUCCCUGGUGACGCAGUGGUUGAGAGUCCGCCUGCCGAUGCAGGGCACACGGGUUCGUGCCCCGGUCCGGGAAGAUCCCACAUGCCGCGGAGCGGCUGGGCCCGUGAGCCAUGGCCGCUGAGCCUGCGCGCUGGAGCCUGUGCUCUGCAAUGGGAGAGGCCGCAACAGUGAGAGGCCCGCGUAAAGGAACAGUAGCAAACUCCUGCACCACUGCAUCUGACUUUGCUGUCUCUUGUUCCUAAUAUAGUUUUUUUCAUACACUUCGUCUUUGUUUGCCUCUUUAACCUGGAAAGCAUUCUGUCUAGUUUCUGCAACGUAGGCCUUGUUUGCAACUUAUUUCGUUGAAAUUUGAAAUAUAAAUGGUAUUAACUGAAGAGAUGAUUUUCUUCCUCUUUUUAAAAAGGAUACCAUUUUGAAUCAUUCAGAGGUUUCUAAACAACUUUUAGUAGUGUCUGGUGUGUGGGUUAAGAGAAUGGACUCAGAGAUCAGAUGGCCACUUGCUAGCUGUGUGCCCUCGGGGAAAUCACUUUUAACUGCUCUGUGACUCAAUUUCCCCAUCUGUAAUAGGGAUUUAUUAAGACUGAAUCAUAGGUUGUUGCCAACUCGCUAACCUAAUUCAUGAAAAGGGCUGAUACACAUAAUAAGCACUUAAUAUCAUUACUUUUAUGAUUAACUAUUAUUAUUCUCAAAUAACGUGAUGGGUUUUUAAUUCUGGAAUAGACAUAUGGCCAAGAGCCCUCUUUGGUGUUUUAAGACUGUUGCUUGUAUGACAUCUUCAUCUAAAAGCUGCUUUCCCGAAACUGAGUUAUUUGUAGUGAGGUGGAUGGGCCUAGAGAGUGUCAUACAGAGUGAAGUAAGUCAGAAAGAGAAAUACAAAUACCGUAUGCUAACACGUAUAUAUGGAAUCUAGAAAAAAAACAUGGUUCUGAAGAACCCAGGGGCAGGACAGGAAUAAAGACGCAGACGUAGAGAAUGGACUUGAGGGCACAGGGCCGGGGAAGGGUAAGCUGGGACGAAGUGAGAGAGUGGCAUGGACAUAUAUACACUACCAAAUGUAAAAUAGACAGCUAGUGGGAAGCAGCCGCAUGGCACAGGGAGAUCAGCUCAUUGCUUUGUGGCCACCUAGAGGGGUGGGAUAGGGAGGGUGGGAGGGAGACGCAAGAGGGAGGAGAUACGGGGACAUAUGUAUAUGUAUAGCUGAUUCACUUUGUUAUACAGCAGAAAUUAACACACUGUUGUAAAGCAAUUAUACUCCAAUAAAGAUGUUAUAAAAAAAUAAAAGCUGUUUUCCCUCUGUUAUGCCGUUGCACCUAAAUCCUUCAUUCUUGUACUUCUUCCUAGUCUUUCUGAAAACAAUGAGGACUCAGUUUUAUUCAGUUUCUCACCCGCCUUCGUCUACAUCAGCUUCCCCGGUGUCUCUCAGCCAUUCUACCAGUCCAUCUGCAGCCCCAGCUGCUGUACUGAGGAAGGCGCUCUGUGUUACCAGAUGAAUCCCGAUGGGCUUCCUGCCCUCAGGGAGCGUCGUCAGCCUUCUCAGGAGCUAGGAGACAAAUGGGGAUAAAGAGGGUGCUGCGCACUGCACCACGGCAAGAUGGAGGAACGGGGAGGCUGCCGCGGGAGCUGGGAGCAGAGAGCGGCCGUCCCCUAGCGCGAGGACAAAGAGCAGGGAUGCGCGGCCGCAGGCCUGGGGACCGGGAGGUCUCAGCAGUAAGGGAGAGGGAAUUGAGCGGCAGGGUCGCUCAGCCUGACCCCACUGGCUUCGAGGCUGGAUCACUCUUUGGCUUGGAGAGCUGUCCUGUGCAUGGUAGGUGUUUAGCAGCCUCCUGGUCUCUACCUACUAGCCGACAGCACACACAUACACAGCCCCUGGCGAUGAGCAAAGAUGUUUCCAGAUACUGCCCAGCACCUUCCUCUGGCAGAUGGAAUGGCCCUCGCUUGAAAAGCACGAACCACUGUUCUGGACCAAGAGAGCAGAGUACAAGCAGAGCCAUCCUGCAGGAAGGCAGGUGUGUGCUUCUAGCAAAAGCAGCCUGGAGAAGCAGUGAGAUAAGGCCAGGCUCAAAACAGGUGGCGCAGUGGUUGAGAAUCUGCCUGCCUGUGCAGUGGACACGGGUUCGAGCCCUGGUCUGGGAGGAUCCCACAUGCCGCGGAGCAACUAGGCCCGUGAGCCACAACUACUGAGCCUGCGCGUCUGGAGCCUGUGCUCCGCAACAAGAGAGGCCGUGACAGUGAGAGGCCCGCGCACCGCGAUGAAGAGUGGCCCCCGCUCGCCACAACUAGAGAAAGCCCUCGCACAGAAACGAAGACCCAACACAGCCAAAAAUAAAUAAAU